UCCAGCCCUCUGAUAGAGAGGGAAUCAGGGAUUUCUGGUAAUCCUUUUACAUCUAAGCUUGCCAACUGUUGACAACUGCAGUACUAUGAAUUAUCAGUUUAAUACAUUUGUGAAAAUACUGUCUAUCCUUACGUCACUACUUAGAGGAAGAGGAAACUAUUGGAAGGGAAGCAGCUAAGACAGACGAGGGAGAAAGGAGUGUCUUCAGCAUUGGAGGUUGGUCUACAUAAAGGGCAGCUGGCUGAGUUCUAAUCAUGUGCUGUUGUCAAGGAAACAGAACCUCCAGAAUAUUUUGAGGGGUACUGCCCUCUACUGUGAACUUUAAUGAAGAGAAGAGUCUAGAGGACCAAGGGAUGUGUUCACUUUAAACCUACUGUGUCAUAUGAAACCGGAAGCAGACCCUGAGCCCUACAUGAGACUGCAGUCCUGGCCAACAUAGUGACACCAUCUAGCAAGACAGAGACUAUGAGGUGAUGAAUACAUUAUCAACUGCUGUAUUUGUGGAAUGCUCUGGAACAGAGGGUCGAAAGGGCCAGUUUAUGUUUAGACACCAUGGUGCUGAUAUAGGUAUCUGGUAACAUGACUGACACUGGACAAACCAGAAGACUAAGUCAAAACAAAAUGGUUGACUCUGGAAACCCCAAAGCAAACAGAUAAAAUGUAUUAUGUU
rnacentral:lncRNA from 1 species